GACUACACGGGUAUCUAAUCCUGUUCGAUCCCCACGCUUUCGUGCCUCAGCGUCAGUAUCGCCUUAGUAAGCUGCCUUCGCAAUUGGUGUUCUGUGCCAUAUCUAAGCAUUUCACCGCUACACGGCACAUUCCGCCUACUUCAAGCGCACUCAAGAAUGACAGUAUCAAUGGCAAUUCUACAGUUGAGCUGCAGGAUUUCACCACUGACUUAUCACCCCGCCUACGCACCCUUUAAACCCAAUGAAUCCGGAUAACGCUUGCACCCUUCGUAUUACCGCGGCUGCUGGCACGAAGUUAGCCGGUGCUUAUUCCUUCGGUACCGUCAACCCUCGACACGUCGAGGGGUUUCUUCCCGAAUAAAAGCAGUUUACAACCCGUAGGGCCGUCUUCCUGCACGCGGCAUGGCUGCGUCAGAGUUGCCUCCAUUGCGCAAUAUUCCUCACUGCAGCCUCCCGUAGG
rnacentral:rRNA from 1 species